CGAAACCCUAACCCUCUAGCGCCUCAACACACGCCUCUCUCUCUCUGGUUCCCCUCCCUCCUUCAGAUUUGCACGCCGCUCCUCUUCCAUGGCGCACGGCUGCCGGGCCUCCGUCGCCGACUACCAUAUCGCCGGCCACAGGAGUGCGUUCCCGCACGCGCCCUGCGCCUAUGCGGUGGCCGGCUGCCUCUUCGUCGCCUCGCGUCUGCGUGCCGGAGCCCGAGGCGCGCCUCCUUCUCGUCGCGGAGGAGACAGACAGCGGGAGCGGGCAAAGAGCUCCACGCCUGCCUGACACGAUGGGAGAUCCGACGGCGGCGGAUCUCCUCUCCACCCGGCGGCCACCUAGCGACCCCGUGACCAACGUGGUCCUCGCCCCGCCCCCUCUCAACUCCCGUAGGUGCUCCAUGGCUGCAGCUUCUAGGUGGCGAUAUGCACAACAAGUCAUACAUGGUGAAUGAUUUAUGCUCGGGGUGGGUUGUGCUUGAAUCGACUGAUGGGGAUGGGACUGGAGCUUGUCUAUUGAAAGUUGGCACUCAUUACAGGCUUACCUGCAGUGCACAUGUUCGAUGUUUUGCCUGAUAGAGCAUGGUUGAUUACUUUAUAAUUAGUUUCCUUCAUGAUUUGCUUUGUAUUGGCACAAAGAUGUUUGGGGGUUGAUUUGUCCUAAUUUUGUGGCAGAUUUUCGGUUAAGCAUAAUCCAGUUAAGCAAACCCUUGCUACUCCGUGAUGUAUGCUUGUGCUGAUGUGCUCUACCACUACUAGUGUAUAUUCAGAGCACAGGUCAAUUUGUCUCAGAUAUGUUCCUCAAAUUAAAAUGGGAGCCAAACUUGGUGUAACUCCCUUAUCUAACAUUGAAUAAAGAAACAUUAAAUCUGAUUAUGAAAUCUUACAAGAGGUAGCUUUAUUCGAGUUUACAAGUGUUCAUUUCCCUAAGUUAAAAACCGAAACAUUUGGCUUUAUAGGUUGAUUGAUCACUUAAUUGUAGAUUCAAAUGGUGCUAAUUGUGUUCGUCAGUUUUUCUGAAUGUAAUUAUUAUGUUAAUCUCUGAUAUGCAUAGAAGCUGUUAGCUUGUUCAUUUGCAUGACCAAUCAACAAUUCUUCCAUGUCAAGUGACCUGAACUCAUGAUUUUAAUUUAAAUCACUCUUGACAUCUUGUUGCUUAGAAUUAAUUUUAUGCGAAGUGUCAAUUUAAUCUUUGCCUAGAGUUUUGGUUAGUGGUACUGCAGCACGCUUCUUUUGCAUUCCUUUGCUCCGAUUUAGUGUAGUGUUGUCCUCAAUUCUGUUUUUCACAGUGUACUUCUAAUUUGUAUAUCCACUGAUUUGCAACUCAGAAUUUGUGGUCUGCCAACCACAUCUAUUGGUAUCUCAAGCAUGCUUAUUGCCACAUCUGCCUAGCUCUUGUGAGAUUGACUUGCUGGCAUGCUUGAAACCAAUCACAUUUUUUUCAUGGCAUAUAUUUGAUUAUUGUUUGUCUACUGGUUAUAGCAUGGUUAUAGCAUUUGAGAGUGAUCUCUUGGUCAGUUCAAUUCUCGUUGCCUAUUGUUUCCUUCAUAUUUUGAAGUCUACCAUUUACUUGUGCAUAUUUUUAUACCAUGCCAGGAUGCCAAUGUAUAUUCAGUAAUGAAGCUAGUUUUCUUUGUCUACCCUGGUACCCCAAAACAAAGGUAUGAAAGCAUAUUUGUUCUUUCAGCUUUAACUUCUCCAGCAAACCAUACCCAAUUGAUUAGCAGGAGGUCUGAUCCUGCAAUAAAAAAAUAACAUUGAGCAUGAUGGUCAAUUCUUGGUUUUUUUUGUUCCUGCACAAGUACGAAAUGUAAUGCUGAUAUGUAUUAUUUAAUGCCUACUCUAUGUCUAGCGUCUUUUUACUAGAUUGAUUUGUUGAUAAACCCUUUAAGUUCAACCACUCAGUAUGCAUAUUUCUAAAUAUGUUACCUUAUACUAAAGUUUGAGUAAAUGGUCCUUCUGUUCCUAUCAUUACUUUUUUCUGAAAGUAAUGUGAAAGUUAAUACAUUAACAUUUAAAUGCAAAUAUAUUUCAAUCAUUACUUUUGCUGUGAAAGUAAUAAAGCUCUAAGUGUUUCUGAAUUUUAUGAUUGUAGUUUCAGUAGGUAUUUGGGCAAUAGUUCCCAUUGCAAAUAUUGCGUGCUCAUAAUUGUUUGGCGAUGUGAAGGUUGUGGAUGAGAUGCAGCAAGGAACAAACUGUUGGAAAAGAUGGGUAGAGGAUGAGAUGCUCGGAAAUAAGCCAUUGCAAGAGAUUGAAAAUUUGAAGAUGGCAACUAAGGGAUUGAUCCAUUAUUUUUUUUUGUUACCUUCUAAUUUAUGAUGAAAUGUCUACUGCAUAUUGUCUUGUAUCUUGUGAAAAUUGGUGUUGUAAUUCUGAAAAUGGGUUGUAAUUGCUUAUUGUGAUUUCUGGGAUGGAACUUUUGUUUCAGUAAGUGGGCUGAAAACACUGGUGGACUAUUUUUAUAUGGGCUGUGUAUAAAGUUCAAUAUGCUUAGCUAAUAAUGAAUGUUGGGCUGAAAUUAGGCCCACUUUGAA